CCUGCAAAUAAUAUGCACACGUAGUACACACAAACAACACACGGUGUAUCAGAAUCCCACUGUCUAUUGGACGGUGCCGGGGGUGGAGAGUAAUGUUUCACUGCGUAUGUGCGCCACACAAGGAAUGUUCAGGACAACAACACUGCUGGAGCGACGGUGGUAAAUAUCGGCAAACGGCACCCGACCGUGCAAUGCAGGAGCUAUCGCACGCGCUACCUGCCCUGAGAGUCUCGCACUACUGCUACUUCUGCCAGCCCAAAAUCACGUUGCAAAAAGGAAGAAAAUCGUCGUCACCAGCAAAAACACACAAGGAGGCCGUAAAACCGUGUCCUUUUUGUUUGGCACAUGCAGCGAAACACACACUCCAACGCGGUUGGUGUGAGCCACACUAUGCGACACGCUUAUCAGCGCAGGAGCCGGCCCAAACGAACGAAGCUUUUGAGUACAGGGUAGAACAACCCUAUCAUUGAAUGUAUCAAAUUGGCCAUAGAACCAUAGAAUGGUAAACUCAUCAUGUUCUGCAAUCCAUUACAGCGGCACAGUCAUGUGAGAAAUUAUCAGCCAGGAAGAGCCUCGAGCUACGCCAUAUCUGUACCAAACGGUACCAAGCGCUUAGACAGCAGCCCGGUUCGAUGUACCUGUUCCAUCCGUGCGAGUUAGUUUUAAGUUUUAAAACUUCCCGCGCGUACCAGAUGCAGAUGGCCUUGAUCCUUGACCACCAACAACCCAUUUCCAGCGCUGCCCACCCCUUGCCGUGCCGAAAUGGUGCAUCGCUUGAUGUCGCCGACAUCCCCCGUGGCUCAUGAAUAAAUUAAAUGACAAUUUAUUUACCCAACCGACGACGCAUCAUCAUCGGUGUCCAUCCAUCCUGUUCCUGGUGGUACACAAAACACGUGUGCCCGCGCGGGGUACGGUUGUGUGGCGACGGGCGGCAGUGGCACUGAUUCCCGAUAAUGGUGAUAUGAAUAAAUUUGACGGAACAGGUUUUUUCUCCCACAGAACUGGUAUUGCGAUACAGAUAUAUGUAUAUUCCUCGCUUGACCAAACCCCGGGUCCAUUCGACCGGGCGAAGAUCCGUUGAAUGAAAGGCUUAAUUAUUAGUCAUAAUUCUACCGCCGUGUUUCGUGUUAAGGUAUUAUUAUUAUUGAGAGCCCACACCGGGCUCAGGUUGGGGAGAACAAAAACUUUGGGAGAAAAUUUGGGCGCACAUUUUGCGAUAGAUUCGACACAAAUAACGGAAGGGAUUCAAAUUUAUGAUUGUCAGUAAAUGGUCGAUGGAUUUACAUUUUCGAAUAUUAUUCUUAGCCAUUUUUGCACUUGAGACAUUAGGAGAUUGCAAUCUAUUU